rnacentral:rRNA from 1 species
UAAAAGCUUAAGGAAUAAGAGCUGGGUAAGACGGGUGCCAGCCGCCGCGGUAACACCCGCAGCUCGAGUGGUGGUCACUUUUAUUGAGCCUAAAGCGUUCGUAGCCGGUCCUGUAAAUCUUCAGAAAAAUUCUCCCGCUCAACGGGAGAUCCUCUGAAGAGACUGUGGGACUAGGGACUGGGUGAGGUUGAAUGUACUUCUGGGGUAGGGGUAAAAUCCUGUAAUCCUGGAAGACAACCGGUGGCGAAGGCGUUCAACUAGAACAGAUCCGACGGUGAGAACGAGGGCUAGGGAGCAACCGGAUUUAGAUACCGGGUAGUCCUAGCUGUAAACACUGCCCACUUGGUGCUGCCUCUCCGGUUGAGGGGAGGCAGUGCCGAGCGAAGGUGUUAAGUGGGCCGCUUGGGAGUAUGGUCGCAAGGCUGAAACUUAAAGGAAUUGGCGGGGAGCACCGCAACGGGAGGAGCGUGCGGUUUAAUUGGAUUCAACGCCGAAAACUCACCGGGAGCGACUUCGGAUGAGAGUCAACCUGACGAGUUUACUCGAUAGAAGGAGAGGUGGUGCAUGGCCGUCGUCAGCUCAUACCGUAGGGCGUUCACUUAAGUGUGAUAACGAGCGAGACCCCCCAUCUCUAAUUGCCAGGCUGUCUUAGCGGGCAGCGGCACUUUAGAGGGACCGCCAGCGCUAAGCUGGAGGAAGGAGGGGUCGACGGCAGGUCAGUACGCCCCGAAUCUCCCCGGGCAACACGCGCGCUACAAAGGACAGGACAAUGAGUUGCGACCUCGAAAAGGGGUAGCUAACCUCGAAACCUGUUCGUAGUUAGGAUUGAGGGCUGUAACUCGUCCUCAUGAAUG